AAACUGUUUCUUCAACUAAAUUAAUAAGUCAAAACCAUGUAUAGGUUUGUGAAAAGCCCUUAAAAUAAUUAUGUUUGCCCUGCAGACGAACUUAUGAAGCGAAAAUACAUUUUUUAAUUUGUUUAUGUUGUGGAAACUAAAUGUAAAAUAACGAUGCUAACUCUGUGACCUAUUUUCAACAUGGCGGGUACAAGGAUUAUCACCGGAGCAACUGUGGAGCAAAGCACAUCGUCUUCACAGUGUUAAAACAUAAUACUUUCUUAAAUUUAUGAAGAACACGCACUAGAGAUGCUUAGGUACAUCUCAGAAGGAUUGGUGUGCACCAGAAUAUAACAAGAAAUGACCAUAGCAGCUGGCCGUCCUUAGAAAGUGCAUUUUUUGGUUGAACCACUUCAGACUUAUGACUGUUGUCAGGCUUGGGUUCCUCAAUAUAUCUAUCUAUCUCAUCGAUUUAGCUCUGGAUGUUUGUUGGAAGGUAAGUGAUCAGUGGUGGCAUACAUAUACUAGAAUCAGAUACACUAAAAACUCAAACCAGUUUAAAUAAUAAGUUUGAAUAUUAUUCAGUAAUAUAAAGAAUAUUAAGCAAAUUUAAAAGACGUACUGGUAUAUUUCAAUUCACAGAGUUUUACUUGAUUUCUGUUUCAUGGUAAACAUGUAUGCUGAAAAGAAUUAACUGUGUAUCUAACUUAUGAAGUAUAUUUUUGCAUUAAAUUCUAGGGCUUUGUUACAUGUGUUAUCAUAACACAAACAGUUAAGGACUAUACUGAGCUUGAAGACAGCUUCAUUAGAAAUUUCUUACCCAGAAUCAAAGAUUUUACAUCCUAGGUCUGUAUGUGAACCUUGACCUGGACAAUCUUACAGACAAUAAUAGAAAAGUCACCUGAAAUUGCACAGGCAAAUUCAUCAGAUUCAGAUGUGAGCACCAACUUUGUAAUGCCUGGAACACUUCCACGGAGAAGAAAAAAGCCUGUCCUGCCAUCUUCAGGUAGACGAAGAAGUGGAUAGCCUGGC